AGCGGGGCCAUCCAUUUCUCUGGAUGUUUGGCCACCCAGACAUUACGGAUGAUGACCCUGUUUGGCCUUCAGUGCAUCAGCGCAAGCACUUUCUUUCGCCAUCAGCGCCGUUACACCAUCCCCGUCAUCAUUCAGGCCUGGCAGAACGAGCAGGCCAAGAAUUUUAAUGACCUCAAGGCAAUGGAUGGAGGCCUAGUUGUUGCUGGUGACUGCAGGUAAAGCAGAAUUUGUUGAUUCUAUGCUAGCUGCCACUAAGGGGUAUGAACUUUAAUAAUCUCAUGUCAUUGUUAAUUUUGUAUCCUAAUACUGUUCUCCACACUUUGUUUGUGCGAGAGCUCAUAGACCAGUUGCACUUUUUUUUUUUAUUUGUUAUCAUGCAGGGCGGCUUUAGUUUACAUUUGCAGAUGUCAUGGUGGAUUGUCUUUACAGACACUGGUUAUUAAAAACUUGAAACAUAAUUUUAAUUUCUAAUUAUCCCCAGGUCAGAUUCUCCAGGGCACUGUGCAAAGUACGGCUCCUACACAUUGAUAGAGGACAGAGUAAACAAGGUGGUUGAUGUUCAGCUUGUUCAGAGCUCAGAGGUCCCCAACAGCUCUUGGUGUGAGAUGGAGGGGCUCAAGCGCAGCAUCGGCUUGCUGAGGCGGAACGACCUGCAUUUGUCAACCCUCAUCACAGACAGACAUCGCCAGGUUGCCAAAUGGGUGAGAGAAGAGCUGUGCCCUGAAGGGACACAGCAUUAUUUUGAUGUCUGGCACAUUGGGAAAAGUCUGGGGAAGGCCUUGGAUACAGCCUCAAAAG